rnacentral:miRNA from 1 species
UCAGAGUAUCAGCCAUGUGA